rnacentral:lncRNA from 1 species
CAUUACUGCGUUCGGCAUUCCUCUUGACCAAUUACAAACUAUUAAUUAUUGUAUAACUUUGCUGACAAGUUGGUUGUUAGCUAAAUGGAAGAACUUGUCUUAAUCACCUACAUCAAUGAAUUUCAUGUUUUGAUUAGUCAAACACGUUCUAAAUAUAAGCAGAUGUAGAUCAUUCGUAAAUAAUUCAGCAACCCAUCGACAGAAAUAACGAAGACAAUGCAUUGGUUAAUCUAUAAUCGAAAAUAGUGUUUUAUCAGAACCAGCAUAAUCUGUUCAUCCUAGAAAAUUUUUUCAUGUGCAGGACUUGUAACAAAACUUAGAAACAGACUUGCAUCUGAUGUUGUUUGUCAAAUCAUAUUUAUGAACUAGAUCAAAAUAAAUGUGCUCUGCGGUGAACCCUCUGCAUCUUACAUCGCAAAGAGACAUAUGUGACGGUGUUUGUAAACGUAUUAACCUUUUGGUGAUUUAAUAACUCACAAGCCG